UUAAGGGCGCACGGUGGAUGCCUUGGCACUAGAAGCCGAUGAAGGACGUUACUAACGACGAUAUGCUUUGGGGAGCUGUAAGUAAGCUUUGAUCCAGAGAUUUCCGAAUGGGGAAACCCAGCAUGAGUUAUGUCAUGUUAUCGAUAUGUGAAUACAUAGCAUAUCAGAAGGCACACCCGGAGAACUGAAACAUCUUAGUACCCGGAGGAAGAGAAAGAAAAUUCGAUUCCCUUAGUAGCGGCGAGCGAAACGGGAAGAGCCCAAACCAACAAGCUUGCUUGUUGGGGUUGUAGGACACUCUAUACGGAGUUACAAAGGACGACAUUAGACGAAUCAUCUGGAAAGAUGAAUCAAAGAAGGUAAUAAUCCUGUAGUCGAAAAUGUUGUCUCUCUUGAGUGGAUCCUGAGUACGACGGAGCACGUGAAAUUCCGUCGGAAUCUGGGAGGACCAUCUCCUAAGGCUAAAUACUCUCUAGUGACCGAUAGUGAACCAGUACCGUGAGGGAAAGGUGAAAAGCACCCCGGAAGGGGAGUGAAAUAGAACCUGAAACCGUGUGCUUACAAGUAGUCAGAGCCCGUUAAUGGGUGAUGGCGUGCCUUUUGUAGAAUGAACCGGCGAGUUACGAUUUGAUGCAAGGUUAAGCAGUAAAUGUGGAGCCGUAGCGAAAGCGAGUCUGAAUAGGGCGUUUAGUAUUUGGUCGUAGACCCGAAACCAGGUGAUCUACCCUUGGUCAGGUUGAAGUUCAGGUAACACUGAAUGGAGGACCGAACCGACUUACGUUGAAAAGUGAGCGGAUGAACUGAGGGUAGCGGAGAAAUUCCAAUCGAACCUGGAGAUAGCUGGUUCUCUCCGAAAUAGCUUUAGGGCUAGCCUCAAGUGAUGAUUAUUGGAGGUAGAGCACUGUUUGGACGAGGGGCCCCUCUCGGGUUACCGAAUUCAGACAAACUCCGAAUGCCAAUUAAUUUAACUUGGGAGUCAGAACAUGGGUGAUAAGGUCCGUGUUCGAAAGGGAAACAGCCCAGACCACCAGCUAAGGUCCCAAAAUAUAUGUUAAGUGGAAAAGGAUGUGGCGUUGCCCAGACAACUAGGAUGUUGGCUUAGAAGCAGCCAUCAUUUAAAGAGUGCGUAAUAGCUCACUAGUCGAGUGACACUGCGCCGAAAAUGUACCGGGGCUAAACAUAUUACCGAAGCUGUGGAUUGUCCUUUGGACAAUGGUAGGAGAGCGUUCUAAGGGCGUUGAAGCAUGAUCGUAAGGACAUGUGGAGCGCUUAGAAGUGAGAAUGCCGGUGUGAGUAGCGAAAGACGGGUGAGAAUCCCGUCCACCGAUUGACUAAGGUUUCCAGAGGAAGGCUCGUCCGCUCUGGGUUAGUCGGGUCCUAAGCUGAGGCCGACAGGCGUAGGCGAUGGAUAACAGGUUGAUAUUCCUGUACCACCUAUAAUCGUUUUAAUCGAUGGGGGGACGCAGUAGGAUAGGCGAAGCGUGCGAUUGGAUUGCACGUCUAAGCAGUAAGGCUGAGUAUUAGGCAAAUCCGGUACUCGUUAAGGCUGAGCUGUGAUGGGGAGAAGACAUUGUGUCUUCGAGUCGUUGAUUUCACACUGCCGAGAAAAGCCUCUAGAUAGAAAAUAGGUGCCCGUACCGCAAACCGACACAGGUAGUCAAGAUGAGAAUUCUAAGGUGAGCGAGCGAACUCUCGUUAAGGAACUCGGCAAAAUGACCCCGUAACUUCGGGAGAAGGGGUGCUCUUUAGGGUUAACGCCCAGAAGAGCCGCAGUGAAUAGGCCCAAGCGACUGUUUAUCAAAAACACAGGUCUCUGCUAAACCGUAAGGUGAUGUAUAGGGGCUGACGCCUGCCCGGUGCUGGAAGGUUAAGAGGAGUGGUUAGCUUCUGCGAAGCUACGAAUCGAAGCCCCAGUAAACGGCGGCCGUAACUAUAACGGUCCUAAGGUAGCGAAAUUCCUUGUCGGGUAAGUUCCGACCCGCACGAAAGGCGUAACGAUUUGGGCACUGUCUCAACGAGAGACUCGGUGAAAUCAUAGUACCUGUGAAGAUGCAGGUUACCCGCGACAGGACGGAAAGACCCCGUGGAGCUUUACUGUAGCCUGAUAUUGAAAUUCGGCACAGCUUGUACAGGAUAGGUAGGAGCCUUUGAAACGUGAGCGCUAGCUUACGUGGAGGCGCUGGUGGGAUACUACCCUAGCUGUGUUGGCUUUCUAACCCGCACCACUUAUCGUGGUGGGAGACAGUGUCAGGCGGGCAGUUUGACUGGGGCGGUCGCCUCCUAAAAGGUAACGGAGGCGCUCAAAGGUUCCCUCAGAAUGGUUGGAAAUCAUUCAUAGAGUGUAAAGGCAUAAGGGAGCUUGACUGCGAGACCUACAAGUCGAGCAGGGUCGAAAGACGGACUUAGUGAUCCGGUGGUUCCGCAUGGAAGGGCCAUCGCUCAACGGAUAAAAGCUACCCCGGGGAUAACAGGCUUAUCUCCCCCAAGAGUUCACAUCGACGGGGAGGUUUGGCACCUCGAUGUCGGCUCAUCGCAUCCUGGGGCUGUAGUCGGUCCCAAGGGUUGGGCUGUUCGCCCAUUAAAGCGGUACGCGAGCUGGGUUCAGAACGUCGUGAGACAGUUCGGUCCCUAUCCGUCGUGGGCGUAGGAAAUUUGAGAGGAGCUGUCCUUAGUACGAGAGGACCGGGAUGGACAUACCUCUGGUGUACCAGUUGUCGUGCCAACGGCAUAGCUGGGUAGCUAUGUGUGGACGGGAUAAGUGCUGAAAGCAUCUAAGCAUGAAGCCCCCCUCAAGAUGAGAUUUCCCAACUUCGGUUAUAAGGAUCCCUCAAAGAUGAUGAGGUUAAUAGGUUCGAGGUGGAAGCAUGGUGACAUGUGGAGCUGACGAAUACUAAUCGAUCGAAGACUUAAUC
rnacentral:rRNA from 1 species